UAAGCAUAUCAAUAAGCGGAGGAAAAGAAACCAACAGGGAUUGCCCUAGUAACGGCGAGUGAAGCGGCAACAGCUCAAAUUUGAAAUCUGGCCUCAUGGUCCGAGUUGUAAUUUGUAGAGGAUGCUUCUGGCGACGUGCCUUCCGAGUUCCCUGGAACGGGACGCCAUAGAGGGUGAGAGCCCCGUCCGGUCGUGCACCUAGCCUCUGUGAAGCUCCUUCGACGAGUCGAGUAGUUUGGGAAUGCUGCUCUAAAUGGGAGGUAUACGUCUUCUAAAGCUAAAUACCGGCCAGAGACCGAUAGCGCACAAGUAGAGUGAUCGAAAGAUGAAAAGCACUUUGAAAAGAGGGUUAAAUAGUACGUGAAAUUGCUGAAAGGGAAGCGCUUAUGACCAGACUUGGGCUCGGUGAAUCAUCCGGCGUUCUCGCCGGUGCACUUUGCCGUCCCAGGCCAGCAUCAGUUCGCGCCGGGGGAUAAAGGUUUCGGGAAUGUAGCUCCCUCGGGAGUGUUAUAGCCCGUUGCGUAAUACCCUGGCGUGGACUGAGGUCCGCGCUCUGCAAGGAUGCUGGCGUAAUGGUCAUCAGUGACCCGUCUUGAAACACGGACCAAGGAGUCGUCUUCGUAUGCGAGUGUUCGGGUGUCAAACCCCUACGCGUAAUGAAAGUGAACGUAGGAGAGAGCUUCGGCGCAUCUCCGACCGAUCCUGAUGUUCUCGGAUGGAUUUGAGUAAGAGCAUACGGGGCCGGACCCGAAAGAAGGUGAACUAUGCCUGUAUAGGGUGAAGCCAGAGGAAACUCUGGUGGAGGCUCGCAGCGGUUCUGACGUGCAAAUCGAUCGUCAAAUAUGGGCAUGGGGGCGAAAGACUAAUCGAACCUUCUAGUAGCUGGUUUCCGCCGAAGUU
rnacentral:rRNA from 1 species